rnacentral:rRNA from 1 species
UAGGGAAUCUUCGGCAAUGGACGAAAGUCUGACCGAGCAACGCCGCGUGAGUGAAGAAGGUUUUCGGAUCGUAAAACUCUGUUGUUAGAGAAGAACAAGGACGUUAGUAACUGAACGUCCCCUGACGGUAUCUAACCAGAAAGCCACGGCUAACUACGUGCCAGCAGCCGCGGUAAUACGUAGGUGGCAAGCGUUGUCCGGAUUUAUUGGGCGUAAAGCGAGCGCAGGCGGUUUCUUAAGUCUGAUGUGAAAGCCCCCGGCUCAACCGGGGAGGGUCAUUGGAAACUGGGAGACUUGAGUGCAGAAGAGGAGAGUGGAAUUCCAUGUGUAGCGGUGUAAUGCGUAGAUAUAUGGAGGAACACCAGUGGCGAAGGCGGCUCUCUGGUCUGUAACUGACGCUGAGGCUCGAAGGCGUGGGGAGCAAACAGG